ensembl:lncRNA
AAAACAUAGGGGGUAACACUGUCGUUUUUAUCAAAUGAAACAUGAGGUCAUAUAUAACCUCAGACAUAAUUAAAUUACAUAUCUCAGUGGGAAGUGGAGAGAGCUGUGAGCUAUCCCCCUGGAGACCGGGGUUCAAGUCUGGUUGAAGUCUUCUGUUGGAAGUCUCUUAUUUCUAUUUCAUGCGAAUUAUAAAGUCAAGUAUAACCAUUGUGAUGACUUCAUUCGGUGUCUUGAUGGUGCUUUGAUAAGUUCGGAGGUUUACACUCUAAACAGCUCAGGUACGGAUCCCUGCAAAAACCUCGACAGGGGUACCACUGUUGUUUUUUAUUGGUCGUCAUGAAAAAAAACAUAAGGGGUAACACUGUUGUUUUUUAUUGGUUGUCAUGAAAAAAAACAUAAGGGGUAACACUGUUGUUUUUUAUUGGUCGUCAUGAAAAAAAACAUAAGGGGUAACACUG